rnacentral:misc_RNA from 1 species
GAUGAAGAACGCAGCGAAAUGCGAUAAGUAGUGUGAAUUGCAGAAUUCAGUGAAUCAUCGAAUCUUUGAACGCACAUUGCGCCUCCUGGCAUUCCGGGAGGCAUGCCUGUUCGAGCGUCAUCAAACCCCAUCGUGCAAAUGAAUUAUUUUUUUUGCGCGGAAGUGACGAUUGAGCGAGAAUAACAAAUCCUCUCGCACCUCGUCGAAAUGAUUGCGGGCGGAAUUUGGGAUCGGGUUCCUCGGCGUAGUGUAUCAAUGCAUAUUUAUGCAACUUGCCGCGGAGUUGAGCCUGACCCACGCGUUCUCGCCGUACAAACACCUCAUUACUUUACAUGUUUUUGACCUCGGAUCAGGUAGGGAUACCCGCUGAACUUAAGCAUAUCAAAAGCGGAGGA